UACGUAGGCAGCAAGCGUUGUUCGGAGUUACUGGGCGUAAAGAGUGCGUAGGCGGUCUUUUAAGUUUGGUGUGAAAUCUCCCCGGCUCAACUGGGAGGGUGCGCCGAAAACUGGGAGGCUUGAGGAUGGGAGAGGCAUGCGGAAUUCCUGGUGUAGCGGUGAAAUGCGUAGAUAUCAGGAGGAACACCUGCGGUGUAGACAGCAUGCUGGACCAUUUCUGACGCUGAGGCACGAAAGCGUGGGUAGCAAACAGG
rnacentral:rRNA from 1 species